rnacentral:rRNA from 1 species
UUCGCAAUGCCCGAAAGGGUGACGAAGCGACGCCGCGUGGGUGAGGAAGGCCCUCGGGUUGUAAAGCCCUGUCAGGAGUUAAGAAAUGUAAGUGCGCUAAUAUCGCAUUUAUUUGACGAAGGCUCCAAAGGAAGCCACGGCUAACUCUGUGCCAGCAGCCGCGGUAAUACAGAGGUGGCAAGCGUUGUUCGGAAUUAUUGGGCGUAAAGAGCACGUAGGUGGGUUUGUAAGUCAGAUGUGAAAGCCUUCUGUUCAACGGAAGAAUUGCAUCUGAAACUACAAGUCUUGAGUGUAGGAGGGGAGAAUGGAACUUCUGGUGGAGCGGUGAAAUGCGUAGAUAUCAGAAGGAACGCCGGCGGCGAAGGCGAUUCUCUGGCCUAUUACUGACACUCAGUGUGCGAAAGCUAGGGGAGCAAACGGGAUUAGAUACCCCGGUAGUCCUAGCCGUAAACGAUGGGCACUAAGUAGAGGGGUUUU